UAUUCUCAUAGGAUAUUGUUUAUGUUUGGGAGGGCAUUAGAAUAUUUUGUUAUAAAGGCUGGUGGUCUCUCAGAUUCUGGUGUAGGCUGUUUCUUAGCUAAUUCCAACUGCCUCUACAAUCUUGAUGCGACGUGACAAGCCCUGUCGAGAGGAAUUUGUGGAUAACUUCUUUCCAUUAGUGUUGCUUUAAGGUCAUUUAAGUGGCAAAUAUAAUCAUUGUCUUCACUACAGAUUCUUAUUUGUUUCGCCUGUCUGCCAAAGAUUCCUUGCUAGCAGUGUCGCGAGUGAUGACUGAUGUAGUCUAAAUAUUGCUGGCUAGCCGUAGGCUUCUGGUGAAACCUCCUACCUUACCCCCUCC
rnacentral:lncRNA from 1 species